GCUGAUUUUUCAGUGCAGUAAUGCAACUGAUCAUGGAGAAGCUGUCAGGAGCCCCAGGGAGAGUUCCCAUUUCUUUGUGAAAGGCAGGGCACCCUGGAAUGGGUUCGCCCCGAGAGAGGGGCCCAAGCCUUGGAAAGUGUCGUGGUUCUGGCAGUGUCCAAUGAGCCCUCGCUGGUCCUUAAAAACCGGGGGAGAAGGUGUAAAUCUCGC
rnacentral:ncRNA from 1 species